UACGUAGGGGGCAAGCGUUGUCCGGAAUCAUUGGGCGUAAAGAGCGUGUAGGCGGCUCGGUAAGUCCGCUGUGAAAGUCCAGGGCUCAACCCUGGAAUGCCGGUGGAAACUGUCGAGCUAGAGUCCGGAAGAGGCGAGUGGAAUUCCUGGUGUAGCGGUGAAAUGCGUAGAUAUUGGGAGGAACACCAGUGGCGAAAGGCGGCUCACUGGACCGGAACUGACGCUGAUGCGCGAAAGCGUGGGGAGCAAACGGG
rnacentral:rRNA from 1 species